rfam:Haemonchus contortus, ISE/inbred ISE, WGS project CAVP01000000 data, contig: Hcontortus_contig_pathogens_Hcontortus_scaffold_3687
GCCUCUAUAGCUCAGUGGCAGAGCGUCUGUCUUGUAAACAGAAGGUCUGUGGUUCGAUCCCGCAUGUAGGCA